rnacentral:tRNA from 1 species
GUGAGAGUAGUUCAGUUGGUAGAGCCCCGGAUUGUGAUUCCGGUUGUCGUGGGUUCGAGUCCCAUCUCUCACCCCA